rnacentral:rRNA from 1 species
GAUGAACGCUGGCGGCGUGCCUAAUACAUGCCAGUCGAGCGAACGGACGAGAAGCUUACUUCUCUGAUGUUAGCGGCGGACGGGUGAGUAACACGUGGAUAACCUACCUAUAAGACUGGGAUAACUUCGGGAAACCGGAGCUAAUACCGGAUAAUAUUUUGAACCGCAUGGUUCAAAAGUGAAAGACGGUCUUGCUGUCACUUAUAGAUGGAUCCGCGCUGCAUUAGCUAGUUGGUAAGGUAACGGCUUACCAAGGCAACGAUGCAUAUCCGACCUGAGAGGGUGAUCGGCCACACUGGAACUGAGACACGGUCCAGGCUCCUACGGGAGGCAGCAGUAGGGAAUCUUCCGCAAUGGGCGAAAGCCUGACGGAGCAACGCCGCGUGAGUGAUGAAGGUCUUCGGAUCGUAAAACUCUGUUAUUAGGGAAGAACAUAUGUGUAAGUAACUGUGCACAUCUUGACGGUACCUAAUCAGAAAGCCACGGCUAACUACGUG